ACAACAAAAACUUAAAUAAUUGAGUAAAUUGCCCUGUGCAAGUGCUCAUGGGAAGUCUGGUGUAACAUCAGAGACAAGAAGGCUGUGAGGAUGUGAGAAUGGACAUGAAGCACCUGAAACAUUCUGGAACACUCCUUACAAAUCCUGCACCAACACCACUAAUGAAGAGAAGUUGAAUGGAGAUAAAACAGGAGGUGCCAGCAUUAUGGGAUGGCGGUGUAAACUGUGUGCAUUUGUCGCAUCAUCAAAAGGAAUUUCGAUCAUUAUGAAGUGAAGCAUGGUGCUCUUGGUGAUGGAUAUUUAGUGUCCU